rnacentral:rRNA from 1 species
GAAAGUAAGCAAGGGCAGACGGUGGAUGCCUUGGCUCUCGGAGGCGAUGAAGGACGUGAUAAGCUGCGAUAAGCUUGGGGUAGGUGCAAAUAACCUUUGAUCCCAAGAUUUCCGAAUGGGGCAACCCGGCUGGUAGAAGGCCAGUCAUUCCGUAAGGAAGGCGAACGUGGGGAACUGAAACAUCUAAGUACCCAUAGGAGAAGAAAACAAAAGUGAUUCCGCAAGUAGUGGCGAGCGAACGCGGAACAGCCCAAACCGAUGAUGUUUAGGCAUUGUCGGGGUAGUAGGACCACGUUGUGGCAAGAGAUUAAGGAAGUAGAACGUUUUGGAACAAACGGCCGUAGACGGUGAAAGCCCAGUAUACGACUCUUUAACGAAGCCUAGUGGAAUCCUGAGUAGCGCGGAGCACGAGAAAUUCUGUGUGAAUCAGCGGGGCCCAUCCCGUAAGGCUAAAUACUCCCGAGAGACCGAUAGCGAACCAGUACCGUGAGGGAAAGGUGAAAAGCACUUCGAACAGAAGAGUGAAAUAGUUCCUGAAACCGUGCGCCUACAAGCGGUCGGAGCUCGUUAAUGAGUGACGGCGUGCCUUUUGCAUAAUGAACCUACGAGUUGCCUUUGCCGGCAAGGUUAAGUGUGACGACACACGUAUCCGAAGCGAAAGCGAGUCUGAACAGGGCGUAUAGUCGGCAGUGGCAGACGCGAAACCAAGUGAUCUACCCUUGGCCAGGUUGAAGGCUGGGUAACACCAGCUGGAGGACCGCACCAAUAAGCGUUGAAAAGCUUCUGGAUGAGCUGAGGGUAGGGGUGAAAGGCUAAUCAAACUUGGAGAUAGCUCGUACUCCCCGAAAUGCAUUUAGGUGCAGCCUUGCGGGUUACUGAUGUGAGGUAGAGCGACUGAUAAGAUGCGAGGGCUUCACCGCCUAUCAAGUCUUGAUAAACUCCGAAUGCGCAUUAGUUUGAGGUCAGGAGUGAGGGCAUGGGUGCUAAGGUCCGUGCCCGAGAGGAGAAGAAUCCGGACCACCUGCUAAGGUCCCGAAAUAACAGCUAAGUUAAACUAACGAAGUCAGAUUGCUAAGACAGCUAGGAUGUUGGCUUGGAAGCAGCCAUUCAUUUAAAGAGUGCGUAACAGCUCACUAGUCGAGGAGUCGGGCGUGGAUAAUAAUCGGGUAUUAAGUUGUCUACCGAAGCAGUGGGAUCAUUAAUAUGAUCGGUAGGGGAGCAUUCCAGUCAGCGUCGAAGGCGUACCGUGAGGUAUUCUGGAGCGUCUGGAAAAGCAAAUGUAGGUAUAAGUAACGAUAAAGGGGGCGGGAAACCCCCUCGCCGAAAGACUAAGGUUUCCUGAUCAACGCUAAUCGGAUCAGGGUCAGUCGGGUCCUAAGGCUCAGCCGAACGGCGAUGCCGAUGGCAGAAACGGUUAAUAUUCCGUUACUACCUUCAGGAGUGACGUGGAGACGCAGUAGUGACAGUGCCGCCAUCUGACGGAAUAGAUGGUUGAAGGGUGUAGGAGUCGAUCAUGGCAGGCAAAUCCACCAUGAGAUCCGAACCUGACAGUAUGCCGCGUCCUUCGGGACAAGGCAAUAGUGCGCGUAAGCAUGCUGCCGAGAAAAUCCGCUAAACUUAAUCCUGCAGGUACCCGUACCGCAAACGGACACACGUAGUCGGGUUGAAUAUACUAAGGCGCUUGAGUGAUUCACGGUUAAGGAACUAGGCAAAUUGACCCUGUAACUUCGGGAUAAAGGGUCCUCGUCGUAAGGCGAGGCGCAGAGAAUAGGUCCAGGCAACUGUUUAACAAAAACACAUGGCUGUGCUAAAUGGAAACAUGAUGUAUACAGCCUGACACCUGCCCGGUGCCGGAAGGUUAAGAGGAGAUGUCAUCCGCGAGGAGAAGCGUUGAAUUGAAGCCCCGGUAAACGGCGGCCGUAACUAUAACGGUCCUAAGGUAGCGAAAUUCCUUGUCGGGU